rnacentral:rRNA from 1 species
GAUGAACGCUGGCGGCGUGCCUAAUACAUGCAAGUCGAGCGAACAGACGAGGAGCUUGCUCCUCUGACGUUAGCGGCGGACGGGUGAGUAACACGUGGAUAACCUACCUAUAAGACUGGGAUAACUUCGGGAAACCGGAGCUAAUACCGGAUAACAUGUUGAACCGCAUGGUUCAACAGUGAAAGACGGUCUUGCUGUCACUUAUAGAUGGAUCCGCGCCGCAUUAGCUAGUUGGUAAGGUAACGGCUUACCAAGGCAACGAUGCGUAGCCGACCUGAGAGGGUGAUCGGCCACACUGAACUGAGACACGGUCCAGACUCCUACGGGAGGCAGCAGUAGGGAAUCUUCCGCAAUGGGCGAAAGCCUGACGGAGCAACGCCGCGUGAGUGAAGAAGGUCUUCGGAUCGUAAAACUCUGUUAUUAGGGAAGAACAAAUGUGUAAGUAACUAUGCACGUCUUGACGGUACCUAAUCAGAAAGCCACGGCUAACUACGUG